UACGUAGGUGGCGAGCGUUGUCCGGAUUUACUGGGCGUAAAGGGAGCGUAGGCGGACUUUUAAGUGAGAUGUGAAAUACCCGGGCUCAACUUGGGUGCUGCAUUUCAAACUGGAAGUCUAGAGUGCAGGAGAGGAGAAUGGAAUUCCUAGUGUAGCAGUGAAAUGCGUAGAGAUUAGGAAGAACACCAGUGGCGAAGGCGAUUCUCUGGACUGUAACUGACGCUGAGGCUCGAAAGCGUGGGGAGCAAACAGGAUUAGAUACCCCCGUA
rnacentral:rRNA from 1 species